rnacentral:misc_RNA from 1 species
AUGAGAACUAAGGGUAGUAGUCUCGGCUACUACUCUGAACACUCCACCCUUUGUUUAUAUUACCUUUGUUGCUUUAGCAGGCCCGCUCUCGAGCCGCCGGCACCUGCUGGCCAGUGCCUGCUAAAGAACCUAAAACUCUUGUUAAUAAUAUUGUCUGAGUACUAUAUAAUAGUUA